UCAAUGGCAUAUUGUAUGGUGUCACUGG
rnacentral:sRNA from 1 species